rnacentral:rRNA from 1 species
ACGGUCCUAAGGUAGCGAAAUUCCUUGUCAGGUAAGUUCUGACCCGCACGAAAGGCGUAACGAUUUGGGCGCUGUCUCAGCUGUAGACUCGGUGAAGUCUUAGUACCUGUGAAGAUGCAGGUUACCCGCGACUAGACGGAAAGACCCCAUGGAGCUUCACUGCAGGUUGAUAUUGGGAUUUGAUGCAGCAUGUACAGGAUAGGUAGGAGGCAAAGAGAUGGAUACGCCAGUAUUCAAGGAGCCGCUGUUGGGAUACUACCCCUGUUGUAUUGGAUUUCUAACCGGACGACGUAAAGCCGUUGACGGGACAGUGUCAGUCGGGCAGUUUGACUGGGGCGGUCGCCUCCCAAAGAGUAACGGAGGCGCCCAAAGAUACCCUCAGCUUGGAUGGAAACCAAGCGCAGAGUGCAAAGGCAAAAGGGUGUUUGACUGCGAGACCUACAAGUCGAGCAGGGACGAAAGUCGGGCUUAGUGAUCCGGCGGUGCUGAAUGGAAAGGCCGUCGCUCAACGGAUAAAAGCUACCCUGGGGAUAACAGGCUGAUCUCCCCCAAGAGUCCACAUCGACGGGGAGGUUUGGCACCUCGAUGUCGGCUCAUCGCAUCCUGGGGCUGUAUUCGGUCCCAAGGGUUUGGCUGUUCGCCAAUUAAAGCGGUACGCGAGCUGGGUUCAGAACGUCGUGAGACAGUUCGGUCCCUAUCUGUCGUGGGCGUAGGAUAUUUGAGGAGCGCUGUUCCUAGUACGAGAGGACCGGAAUGGACGCACCGCUGGUGUAUCGGUUGUCAUGCCAAUGGCACGGCCGAGCAGCUAUGUGCGGAUCGGAUAAACGCUGAAAGCAUCUAAGCGUGAAGCCGUCUCCAAGAUAAGAUAUCCCACUGUUUACAGUUAAGACCCCUUGUAGACUACGAGGUUGAUAGGUUGGAUGUGUAAGUACAGUGAUGUAUUUAGCUAGCCAAUACUAAUAGGUCGAGGGCUUGACCUU